CCUACGGGAGGCUGCAGUGGGGAAUAUUGGGCAAUGGAGGCAACUCUGACCCAGCAACGCCGCGUGAAUGAUUAAGGUCUUAGGAUUGUAAAGGUCUGUGAUGGGGGGUGAACACAAUGACGGUACCCCAAUAGCAAGCCACGGCUAACUACGGGCCAGCAGCCGCGGUAAUACGUAGGUGGCAAGCGUUAUCCGGAAUGACUGGGCUGAAAGGGGGCGUAGGGGGUUUAGGAAGUCGGCGGUGUAAUUCCGGGGCUCAACCUGGGGACUGCCGAUAAAACUAGUAGACUAGAGUGCAGGAGAGGUAAGUGGAAUUCCUAGUGUAGCGGUGGAAUGCGUAGAUAUUAGGAGGAACAGCAGUGGCGAAGGCGACUUACUGGACUGUAACUGACACUGAGGCACGAAAGCGUGGGGAGCGAACAGGAUUAGAUACCCUUGUAGUC
rnacentral:rRNA from 1 species